rnacentral:snRNA from 1 species
AGUUUUGCACAGUGGCAGUAUUGUAGCCAGUGAAGUUUAUCCGAGGUACAAUUAUUGCUAGUUAUUGCUAAUUAAAAUAC